rnacentral:rRNA from 1 species
GACGAACGCUGGCGGCGUGCCUAAUACAUGCAAGUAGGACGCAGUUGCGAACGGGUGAGUAACGCGUAGGUAACUACCUAUUAGAGGGGGAUAACUAUUGGAAACGAUAGCUAAUACCGCAUACGAGUAGAUGGAACUGCGGUGUAUUAGCUAGUAGGUAGGGUAAUGGCCUACCCAGGCAACGAUACAUAGCCGACCGGAGGUGGUGUGCGGCCCCACUGUGACUUAGACACGGCCCAGACUCCUUCGGGAGGCAGCAGGAGGGAAUCUUCGGCAAUGGGGGGAACCCUGACCGAGCAACGCCGCGUGAGGGAAGAAGGUUUUCGGAUCGUAAAGCUCUGUUGUUAAGGAAGCGUUACUUAACCAGAAAGGGACGGCUAACUACGUGCCAGCAGCCGCGGUAAUUC